UUAAGCGAAAGUGUAGCCGAAGCGAAAGCAAGUCUGAAUAGGGCGAAUAGUUGUGCGGAGUAGACCCGAAACCGGGUGAUCUAUCCAUGAGCAGGUUGAAGCAAAGGUAAAACUUUGUGGAGGACCGAACCCUUAACGGCUGAAAACGUUUGGGAUGACUUGUGGAUAGGGGUGAAAGGCUAAUCAAACUCGGUGAUAGCUGGUUCUCCCCGAAAUAUAUUGAGGUAUAGCCUCGGAAUAGUUUGACGGAGGUAUAGCACUGAAAGGGCUAGGGGUCUUACCAGAUUACCAAACCCUAUCAAACUCAGAAUACCGUCUAAACGUUUUCCGGGAGUCAGACUGUGGGUGCGAAGAUCCAUAGUCAAAAGGGAAACAGCCCAGAUCGACAGCUAAGGUCUCCAAGUCCAUGCUCAGUGUAUAAGGUAGUGGGGGCGCAUAGACAGCCAGGAAGUUGGCUUAGAAGCAGCCAUCUUUUAAAGAAAGCGUAAUAGCUCACUGGUCUAGUGCCCCCGCGCCGAAAAUGUAUCGGGGCUAAGCAUGGCACCGAAGCUUCGGGAUUAUAUUUAUAUAAUCGGUAGGGGAGCGUUCUUAAUACGCUGAAGGCGUU
rnacentral:ncRNA from 1 species